rnacentral:ncRNA from 2 species
GCCGUCUCAUGGGGGUGCCCGGCGCCGAUGCGCGGGCUGAGAGGCGGAUCCGCCAACUCCUUGAACCUGAUCCGGGUCAUGCCGGCGGAGGGAUUUGGGAUGAUCGACAGU